rnacentral:rRNA from 1 species
CUUUCUUUGCUGGCGACCGGCGCACGGGUGAGUAACACGUAUCCAACCUGCCCUUUACUCGGGGAUAGCCUUUCGAAAGAAAGAUUAAUACCCGAUAGCAUAAUGAUUCCGCAUGGUUUCAUUAUUAAAGGAUUCCGGUAAAGGAUGGGGAUGCGUUCCAUUAGGUUGUUGGUGAGGUAACGGCUCACCAAGCCUUCGAUGGAUAGGGGUUCUGAGAGGAAGGUCCCCCACAUUGGAACUGAGACACGGUCCAAACUCCUACGGGAGGGCAGCAUG